rnacentral:lncRNA from 1 species
CCAAACAUGACGAAAUCAGAGAGGAGUGCGUUUCCUGACCCGGAAGGAAGCAAACAUCCACCUUGUGAACUGCUUGACAGCACCACAUGUCAAGGAACUGUGGGCAGCCUCCAGGAGCUGAAAUCAGUCCCUGCAAGGAAACAAGGACAUCAGUCCUACAACCAUAAGGAACUGAAUUCUGCCAACAAUUGGAACAAGUUUGGAAGAAGACCCUCCCACGUCUCUGCAAAAACGAAGCCAAGAACGGAACCAAGGCCCUGGAAGAAGGAGAGAAGAGUGGUCCUUUGGUCUUCCUGUGCUGUUUGACUUCAGCCUGGUUCAAGAUGCUCAGUGAAUGCCACAUGCCAAUAACUGCAGUGCCACUCAGCAAGGCUGGUCUCCUAAACUCAAUCUUCCUACUGUGUAAUCCUUCUACAGCUCGAGGUUUUCCAUCUCUUGUGGAUUUAUGAACUAGUUCUAUCUACAGUGAAAUGAGAACACCACUCCUUGCUCACUGACGACAACCAUUUAAAUGCCUGGGCAUCAAGGCCUGAUAUCUUACCUUCCUUCCUCCCUCAACCAAAGUGACAUCAGGAAGUUACUUUAAAGCUGAAUUAGCCGCAGCCAGGAGCAAAAGUAGAGGAUCAAAAGAAAAUCUGCAGUAACCACAGGGAAUCAUUGGAGGCUGGGCAUCCCUGGUAAGGAGUUAUGAGGACCCUUUAGGCAGAGAUAUUCUGUUAUUAGGGUCAUCAAGGUAGCUGUGAAGAGAAAUCACAGUAGUGAGACAGGUGACCAUCUGGUUGAAUAAAUAAAAGGAUGUGAUCCUACUUGCUCAUUGAAGAAGUUCCUUUCUUACAGAAAGAGAUAGUGAAUGUCAUCAUCUCUUCUCCCAAUAUUUGUUUCUUUCCUGAAUUUCUGAUUGAGUUCCUUAAUUCUGGUGUGAAAGUAUGAUUUCCUUCUCACCCCAUCACAGAGAAAACAUUUCAGUUACAGCGCUUUGUGGAAGUUUCU